rnacentral:rRNA from 1 species
UACGAAGGGGGCUAGCGUUGUUCGGAAUUACUGGGCGUAAAGCGUGCGCAGGCGGCUUCUCAAGUCAGGGGUGAAAGCCCAGAGCUCAACUCUGGAAUUGCCUUUGAGACUGAGUGGCUUGAGUCCGGGAGAGGUGAGUGGAAUUGCGAGUGUAGAGGUGAAAUUCGUAGAUAUUCGCAAGAACACCAGUGGCGAAGGCGGCUCACUGGCCCGGUACUGACGCUGAGGUGCGAAAGCGUGGGGAGCAAACAGG